rnacentral:rRNA from 1 species
UACGUAGGGUGCGAGCGUUGUCCGGAAUUAUUGGGCGUAAAGGGCUCGUAGGCGGUUUGUCGCGUCGGGAGUGAAAACUCAGGGCUUAACCCUGAGCCUGCUUCCGAUACGGGCAGACUAGAGGUAUGCAGGGGAGAACGGAAUUCCCGGUGUAGCGGUGAAAUGCGCAGAUAUCAGGAGGAACACCGGUGGCGAAGGCGGUUCUCUGGGCAUUACCUGACGCUGAGGAGCGAAAGUGUGGGGAGCGAACAGG